UGGGGAAUAUUGCACAAUGGGCGCAAGCCUGAUGCAGCCAUGCCGCGUGUGUGAAGAAGGCCUUCGGGUUGUAAAGCACUUUCAGCGAGGAGGAAGGUGGUGAGCUUAAUACGCUCAUCAAUUGACGUUACUCGCAGAAGAAGCACCGGCUAACUCCGUGCCAGCAGCCGCGGUAAUACGGAGGGUGCAAGCGUUAAUCGGAAUUACUGGGCGUAAAGCGCACGCAGGCGGUUUGUUAAGUCAGAUGUGAAAUCCCCGGGCUCAACCUGGGAACUGCAUUUGAAACUGGCAAGCUAGAGUCUCGUAGAGGGGGGCUAGAAUUCCAGGUGUAGCGGUGAAAUGCGUAGAGAUCUGGAGGAAUACCGGUGGCGAAGGCGGCCCCCCUGGANGAAGACUGACGCUCAGGUGCGAAAGCGUGGGGCAGCAAACAGAUUAGAUACCCUGGUAGUCCACGCUGU
rnacentral:rRNA from 1 species